rnacentral:rRNA from 1 species
GAGGAAUUUUCCGCAAUGGGCGCAAGCCUGACGGAGCGACGCCGCGUGAGGGAUGAAGGCUUUCGGGUUGUAAACCUCUUUUGCAGGGGAAAAAGGUGCAUGUGCUCAUACCAUAUGCAUUUGAUGGUACUUUGCGAAUAAGCCCCGGCUAACUACGUGCCAGCAGCCGCGGUAAUACGUAGGGGGCGAGCGUUGUCCGGAGUUACUGGGCGUAAAGGGCGUGUAGGCGGUUGGAUAAGUCUGGUGUGAAAUUCUCUGGCUUAACCAGGGAGCUGCGCUGGAAACUGUCUGACUGGAGUUCGGUAGGGGUCACUGGAAUCCCCGGUGUAACGGUGAAAUGUGUAGAUAUCGGGGGGAACACCUGUGGCGAAGGCGGGUGACUGGGCCGCAACUGACGCUGAGACGCGAAAGCGUGGGGAGCAAAC